GACGAACGCUGGCGGCGUGGAUUAGGCAUGCAAGUCGGACGGUAGAGCUUUAUCGUAAGAUAGAGUUUGAGAGUGGCGAACGGGUGAGUAACACGUAGGAAUCUACCCUUAAGACGGGGACAACCCAGGGAAACUUGGGCUAAUACCGGAUGAGAGUGCGAGAGAUUGCAUUUAAAAGGAUGGCGAAAGUUGUCGCUUAGGGAUGAGCCUGCGGUCUAUUAGUUAGUUGGUGAGGUAACGGCUCACCAAGGCGACGAUGGGUAGCCGACCUGAGAGGGUGACCGGCCACACUGGGACUGAGACACGGCCCAGACUCCUACGGGAGGCAGCAGUGGGGAAUAUUGCGCAAUGGACGGAAGUCUGACGCAGCGACGCCGCGUGAGCGACGAAGGCCUUCGGGUCGUAAAGCUCUGUUCUUGGGGACGAAGGAAAUGACGGUACCCAAGGAGAAAGCCCCGGCUAACUACGUG
rnacentral:rRNA from 1 species